UACGGGGGGAGCAAGCGUUGUUCGGAUUUACUGGGCGUAAAGGGCGCGUAGGCGGCCACCGCAAGUCGGUUGUGAAAUCUCCGGGCUUAACCCGGAAAGGUCAAUCGAUACUGCGGGGCUAGAGUGCAGAAGGGGCAACUGGAAUUCUCGGUGUAGCGGUGAAAUGCGUAGAUAUCGAGAGGAACACCUGCGGCGAAGGCGGGUUGCUGGGCUGACACUGACGCUGAAGCGCGAAAGCGUGGGGAGCGAUCCGG
rnacentral:rRNA from 1 species